CAAUAGCGUAUAUUAAAGUUGUUGCAGUUAAAAAGCUCGUAGUUGGAUUUCUGGUUGAAGCGACCGGUCGGGCGUUGAUUCGUCUGCACUGGAGUCGGUUUUGGCCAUCCUCUAGGAAAGUGCGUCUGGUAUUAAGUUAUCGGGCGUAUGAUCCUGGUCUUUUACUGUGAAAAAAUUAGAGUGUUUAAAGCAGGCCUUCGCCUUGAAUACAUUAGCAUGGAAUAAUAAGAUAGGACUUUGGCCUAUUUUGUUGGUUUGCAGACCGAAGUAAUGAUUAAUAGGGAUAGUUGGGGGUAUUUAUAUUCCGAUGUCAGAGGUGAAAUUCUUAGAUUUUCGGAAGAUAAACUUAUGCGAAAGCAUUUACCAAGGAUGUUUUCAUUAA
rnacentral:rRNA from 1 species